CAGUCGAGCGAAGCGUAUUUGCGGAAGUUUUCGGAUGGAAGCGGAUGCGACUUAGCGGCGGACGGGUGAGUAACGCGUGGGUAACCUGCCUCAUACAGGGGGAUAACAGUUAGAAAUGACUGCUAAUACCGCAUAAGCGCACAGGACCGCAUGGUCCGGUGUGAAAAACUCCGGUGGUAUGAGAUGGACCCGCGUCUGAUUAGCUGGUUGGCGGGGUAACGGCCCACCAAGGCGACGAUCAGUAGCCGACCUGAGAGGGUGGCCGGCCACAUUGGGACUGAGACACGGCCCAAACUCCUACGGGAGGCAGCAGUGGGGAAUAUUGCACAAUGGGGGAAACCCUGAUGCAGCGACGCCGCGUGAGUGAAGAAGUAUCUCGGUACGUAAAGCUCUAUCAGCAGGGAAGAAAAUGACGGUACCUGACUAAGAAGCCCCGGCUAACUACGUGCCAGCAGCCGCGGUAAUACGUAGGGGGCAAGCGUUAUCCGGAUUUACUGGGUGUAAAGGGAGCGUAGACGGCAGCACAAGUCUGGAGUGAAAUCCCGGGGCUUAACCCCGGAACUGCUUUGGAAACUGUGCGGCUGGAGUGCAGGAGGGGUAAGCGGAAUUCCUAGUGUAGCGGUGAAAUGCGUAGAUAUUAGGAGGAACACCGGUGGCGAAGGCGGCUUACUGGACUGUAACUGACGUUGAGGCUCGAAAGCGUGGGGAGCAAACAGGAUUAGAUACCCUGGUAG
rnacentral:rRNA from 1 species